rnacentral:misc_RNA from 1 species
AAAAAAAAAAAAAAAAAAAAAACAAUAAAGACCAAAUAUAGGAGCAUUAAGCAGAAUCCAACCUGUAACUAGUACUCGAUUUAAUUACAUCUGCCCCUUAAGUAGCUCCUCAAGAAUAAUAUGAAACAACUGUAAGACGGAAAAAACACUUUGACUACCUGAUUUUCUUUUACAAAAAAAAAAAAAAAAAAAAGCAAGUUAUAGUCAAUCAACCACAAUUAAAUCAAAAUAGAAGGUUAUUACACCAAUCAGCCCCUAAAGAAUUAAACAAUACUUACACACCUGCAAAUCGUUGAGCAUCCAGCAACAUAACAGCAAACCAGCAUAUGAUUCACCAGCAGUCUGAAAAUUUGGCGAGUUUGUACACAGGCGAUAAAACAUGCAGAAGCAACCAUGCUCGUCCAGACAUUCUCUAUUUUGCCAACUUCAGUUGCAUCACCAGUUAUAUUCCGCUUAAGUUCCCUUAAAAGCCAACUUGUCAAAUUC